rnacentral:rRNA from 1 species
GAUGAACGCUGGCGGCGUGCCUAAUACAUGCAAGUCGAGCGAACAGAUAAGGAGCUUGCUCCUUUGACGUUAGCGGCGGACGGGUGAGUAACACGUGGGUAACCUACCUAUAAGACUGGGAUAACUUCGGGAAACCGGAGCUAAUACCGGAUAACAUUUGGAACCGCAUGGUUCUAAAGUGAAAGAUGGUUUUGCUAUCACUUAUAGAUGGACCCGCGCCGUAUUAGCUAGUUGGUAAGGUAACGGCUUACCAAGGCGACGAUACGUAGCCGACCUGAGAGGGUGAUCGGCCACACUGGAGCUGAGACACGGUCCAGACUCCUACGGGAGGCAGCAGUAGGGAAUCUUCCGCAAUGGGCGAAAGCCUGACGGAGCAACGCCGCGUGAGUGAUGAAGGGGUUCGGCUCGUAAAACUCUGUUAUUAGGGAAGAACAAACGUGUAAGUAACUGUGCACGUCUUGACGGUACCUAAUCAGAAAGCCACGGCUAACUACGUG